rnacentral:tRNA from 1 species
GAGGGCGUAGCUCAGCGGUAGAGCACAUGCUUAUCAUGCAUGGGAUCCUGUGUUCAAUCCCCAGGACCUCC